ACAAGGAGCAAACUACUAGCAUUGACAAGGAUAUGAUAAAUGCUAGAGCGUGCAGAAACUCUAGAACGAGUGACAAAUUAGCAAAUUAGUGGGCAGUUUUUGAUGGUGGGAUUAUUAUUAUGGCCACAGAUUUGAGUUACUUACUAUUUGCUAGGCCCUGAGGGUAUAGAAAGAUAAAGGAAAUAAUCCCUGUUCUCAAGAAGCUUUGGGAAGACACACAAAGUUACACCACAGGACAGCAGGUGACAAGUAUCAAAAGGUUGUUCUUGGCACUGUGCUAGAGUUGAUGGAAUAAGACCAUCGAGAAAAGCUACUGUGGGCAUGUAACACCAGGUACUGAAGGGAUGGCUGUCCUGUUUGCUGAGUGCUGCUGCCUUCUACAUCUCCUUACUGGUUCCUCUUUGGGCAUUAAAUUCUCACAUUUGGAUAAAUCUAUUUUUUAAAUAAAGGGACACAGCAGCUCCCAAGAGGCGGCAAAA